UCUCAAAAUAACUGUUACGACUUGAAUAAUAUAUAUAAUAGGUGGUGGAUAAAUAAUAAUUAAAUGGGUAAGCAGCACCCCCAAAAUUCCACUUUUUGUGAUAAACAAAACAAAGAAACAGUAAGGAGAAGCACGCCGAUCAGAGCUGAGAGUGGAUGCUGGCUGGGUGGCUGGCUAUUGCAUGCUAAUUAAGUAGUAAACUUCAUCUCCUUAAUUAGUUACAGGUGAGGUGAGCAUCUUUCUUCUUCCUUCCCACAGCUGCUCUCCUCUGCAUGUCACAGUUCCCAAAAUAUUCCAUCUCAAUUGAAUUAAUCACUAAAAUAAUAAUAAAAUGAAAUUUUAUCAUACAUAUUUCUGUUCCCACCCGCCAUCACUAUUAUCUCUUCCCCUCUUCAUUAUACACAUAGAGGGGGAAAAAGUAGUAGUGUUUUUUCAGUUUUGCUUUUAGCUCUUUCCCAAUUCCAGUCCCCUUUCCCUUUUAGUUAGGUUGUGGUUUUUCUUUAUAUAUUAAAAUGGCCGGCUGAUGAGACAUUGCUUUCUUCACACAACCUAGCUAGCUAGCUUGCUUGCUUUCUUCCAUGUUAUGAUUGCGCUUUUUCUCUUCUCUUUCGGGGCAUAUAUAGCACUGCACUGCUGUGCUGCUGCACCUCCUUGUUUUAAUAAUGAAUAAUUAUUAUUGAGAGUUUUACUGUCAAAACAGAACAAAAAGAAAAGGGUACUGCUUGCAAUUACACUACGUUUGACUUGUGGCGACGCACCCAUACUAUUUGUGAUCAUCAUCAAUCAUCAUCAUCACGCAACCCUCUUUGGUUUUUCCUUCAUUGAUACAUAACCU
rnacentral:lncRNA from 1 species